rnacentral:rRNA from 1 species
CACGUAGUUAGCCGUGGCUUAUUCAGAGGGUACCGUCACGCUUGGCUAUUCACCAAGCCAUUCUUCCCCUCCAAAAGGAGUUUACAAUCCGAAGACCUUCAUCCUCCACGCGGCGUCGCUGGAUCAGGGUUGCCCCAUUGUCCAAAAUUCCCCA